rnacentral:rRNA from 1 species
GAUGAACGCUGGCGGCGUGCCUAAUACAUGCAAGUCGAGCGAACGGACGAGAAGCUUGCUUCUCUGAUGUUAGCGGCGGACGGGUGAGUAACACGUGGAUAACCUACCUAUAAGACUGGGAGAACUUCGGGAAACCGGAGCUAAUACCGGAUAAUAUUUUGAACCGCAUGGUUCAAAAGUGAAAGACGGUCUUGCUGUCACUUAUAGAUGGAUCCGCGCUGCAUUAGCUAGUUGGUAAGGUAACGGCUUACCAAGGCAACGAUGCAUAGCCGACCUGAGAGGGUGAUCGGCCACACUGGAACUGAGACACGGUCCAGACUCCUACGGGAGGCAGCAGUAGGGAAUCUUCCGCAAUGGGCGAAAGCCUGACGGAGCAACGCCGCGUGAGUGAUGAAGGUCUUCGGAUCGUAAAACUCUGUUAUUAGGGAAGAACAUAUGUGUAAGUAACUGUGCACAUCUUGACGGUACCUAAUCAGAAAGCCACGGCUAACUACGUG